CCUACGGGUGGCUGCAGUGGGGAAUAUUGGGCAAUGGACGGAAGUCUGAUGCAGCAACGCCGCGUGAAGGAAGAAGGCUUUCGGGUUGUAAACUUCUUUCAAGGGGGAAGAGCAGAAGACGGUACCCCUUGAAUAAGCCACGGUUACCUACGUGCCAGCAGCCGCGGUAAUACGUAGGUGGCAAGCGUUGUCCGGAUUUACUGGGUGGAAAGGGCGUGCAGCCGGAGAGACAAGUCAGAUGUGAAAGCCACGGGCUCAACCCGUGAACUGCAUUUGAAACUGUUUCCCUGGAGUGUCGGAGAGGUAAGCGGAAUGCCUGGUGUAGCGGUGAAAUGCGUAGAUAUAAGGAAGAACACCAGCGGCGAAGGCGGAUUACUGGACGAUAACUGACGGUGAGGCGCGAAAGCGUGGGGAGCAAACAGGAUUAGAUACCCGAGUAGUC
rnacentral:rRNA from 1 species